AUAUUGGACAAUGGGCGAAAGCCUGAUCCAGCCAUGCCGCGUGAGUGAAGAAGGCCUUCGGGUUGUAAAGCUCUUUUGUCCGGAAAGAAAAGCCUUGGGUUAAUACCCUGAGGUUCUGACGGUACCGGAAGAAUAAGCACCGGCUAACUUCGUGCCAGCAGCCGCGGUAAUACGUAGGUGGCGAACGUUGUCCGGAUUCACUGGGCGUAAAGCGCGCGCAGGCGGGUUGGUAAGUCUGAUGUGAAAGCUCCCGGCUCAACUGGGAGAAGCCAUUGGAUACUGCUAGCCUUGAGACACUUAGAGGAGAGUGGAAUUCCCGGUGUAGUGGUGGAAUGCGUAGAUAUCGGGAGGAACACCAGUGGCGAAAGCGGCUCUCUGGGAGUGUUCUGACGCUGAGGCGCGAAAGCGUGGGGAGCAAACCGG
rnacentral:rRNA from 1 species